rnacentral:rRNA from 1 species
UACGUAGGGUGCAAGCGUUGUCCGGAAUUAUUGGGCGUAAAGAGCUCGUAGGCGGUUUGUCGCGUCUGCUGUGAAAACCCGAGGCUCAACCUCGGGCCUGCAGUGGGUACGGGCAAACUAGAGUGCGGUAGGGGAGAUUGGAAUUCCUGGUGUAGCGGUGGAAUGCGCAGAUAUCAGGAGGAACACCGAUGGCGAAGGCAGGUCUCUGGGCAUUAACUGACGCUGAGGAGCGAAAGCAUGGGGAGCGAACAGG